rnacentral:misc_RNA from 1 species
GAUGAAGAACGUAGCGAAAUGCGAUACUUGGGGUGAAUUGCAGAAUCCCGUGAACCAUCGAGUCUUUGAACGCAAGUUGCGCCCGAAGCCAUCAGGUUGAGGGCACGUCUGCCUGGGCGUCACAUAUCGUUGCCCAAUGCCUAUUGCAGUGCAAUAGGAAUUUCUAGGGCGAAUGAUGGCUUCCCGUGAGCGUUGUUGCCUCGCGGUUGGUUGAAAAUCGAGUCCUUGGUAGGGUGUGCCAUGGUAGAUGGUGGUCGAGUUAGAACGAUACCGAUCAUGUGCAUGCUCCCCAAAAUAUGGCCUCUAUGACCCACACGCGUCUUUUGACGCUCAUGACGAGACCUCAGGUCAGGCGGGGCUACCCGCUGAAUUUAAGCAUAUCAAUAAGCGGAGGA